rnacentral:tRNA from 1 species
GGAUUGUGGCUCAGUGGUAGAGUGCUCGCCGAAUAAGUGUGAGGUCCCAGGUUCGAUCCUCAGCACCA